rnacentral:rRNA from 1 species
UACGUAGGGGGGCAAGCGUUGUCCGGAUUUAUUGGGCGUAAAGAGCGUGUAGGCGGCCUGAAAGGUCAGCUGUGAAAACUCGAGGCUCAACCUCGAGACGUCGGUUGAAACCAUCUGGCUAGAGUCCGGAAGAGGAGUGUGGAAUUCCCGGUGUAGCGGUGAAAUGCGCAGAUAUCGGGAAGAACACCCGUGGCGAAGGCGGCACUCUGGGGACGGUACUGACGCUGAGACGCGAAAGCGUGGGGAGCGAACAGG